rnacentral:lncRNA from 10 species
CAUCCUCUGGGUGGAGUAGGACUUGCAGAUGGGGCGUCCUUACUCCCAGUCUUUCCAGAUGUUCUUCCCACUCCUCAACUGCUCCUGGCUCAGAAACCCUGCACACCUGGAAGAAAGUGAGAACCAGUUUUUCAACAAACACAUUGCACAGACUUAUUGUGAACCCCGGGUGGAAUCAAGCAUCGGAGGAAGAGAACGUGACAGGGUCUUGCUGUGUCCCUAGGCUGGAGUGCAGUGGUGCAGUCUCAAUUAUGCCAGAUGGCUCUGAGGUCCAAGUAAAAGAUAAUAUUUGCAACCAACUCACUGGAGUUGACCAUCAAAACUCUUUUCCAGGUGGAAAAGCACCCUGAAUCCAGCUUCCUGCUAUGAAUGAAUACUGAGCUUGGGUUGGUGGAAAUUGAUUUUCGAGAUAAAGAAUCCAGCCAGGACUGUGAAGCCCCAGGGAAUGGCUGCACUUCAAGUCAGAAGGAGCCUGGGUCCCUGAAUCAUCAUGUGGAAGGCUCUCCACCCAGUUCAAUGGUGCAAUGGACCACAAGCAGGAACUUAAUUUAGAAUGUGCUUAUUUUGUUAGAUUUUGUAAUUAAAAAAUGGAUCCCACUCUGACUGAAUCAGAGAUGUUGAAGUCAUUGAUCUGGGAGGGUAUGUUCCUGGGAGUGGGUGGCUGAGGUGAGAUUUCAAACAAGGUUGUUGAGGAAGAGGAGUUCAAGUGACUGAGAGGACAUAUUGUUGGAUAAAUUGUGCGUGCGUGUGUGUGUGUGUGUGUGUGUGUGUUGAAAUCACCAAGAAUAGGGAAAGAAGUGUAUAAGAGAGUGUGGCAGUGAGCCCAGAGCUAAAAGAAAUCAUGAGCAGGGAGUAAUUCACGAGCAGAAAGUAGAAGCAACGAGAGGCAGUUAAUGAGAGAAGCAGCUGAGGGAUUUUAGCAAGGGAUGGG